rnacentral:rRNA from 1 species
UACGUAGGGGGCAAGCGUCGUCCGGAAUUAUUGGGCGUAAAGCGCGCGCAGACGGUUUUGUAAGUCGAGUGUUUAAUCUCGGGGCUCAACCCCGAUUCGCAUUCGAAACUGCAAGACUUGAGUGCAGAAGAGGAAAGUGGAAUUCCACGUGUAGCGGUGAAAUGCGUAGAGAUGUGGAGGAACACCAGUGGCGAAGGCGACUUUCUGGGCUGUAACUGACGCUGAGGCGCGAAAGCGUGGGGAGCAAACAGG